CCCAAAAACCGAAAAACAUGUUUAUCUCGGCUUCUGCUUGUUAUCCCAGUAAACAUGCUUAUCUCAGUUCUCACUGUCGUUUCCCAUGCAUGAAGUUGCACGUAUACAGGAUGUAUAGAAGAUAUAUGGAAAAGGGGAGGGGGUUGGACGGACCCUGGGAAAGGAAUGUGAAGGACGGGAAGCUAAACAGAUGUAUCCUGAUUACUACUAGAACUGAAUUUAAACAAUGCAUAGGUUAGCAGAAUUUAGACAUGCUAAGUUGUUUGUCUCUCUGUAUAAAAGAAGCCCAGUUGUGCUUGUAAGAUGUGUUCCUCCCUCUGGCAUGAGUCGAGGGGGACACCCGCUCAGCUGACUGAUCAAUAAAGAACUUGAAGCAGUCUUCUAGACUCCCGUGCCUCCUUGGGGUAAUUGGGCAGCUCCAGGGGGAAACGAGCCCAUUUGGCUAACAAUGGCGACUCCGCCGGGACUUCUCUCCCUGUAGAGGGCACUGACCGACGGCCGAGGGCGAUUCCGAGGAGUGGCCACCUUGAGCUGUUGCUUUGCUCGGGCCUCGGAUCGUCACAAUCGGCCGGGGCGGCUGCGUCCUCUCUGAAGAGAACUCUGAAGGACACGGAAGCAAGACGGCUUCAGAAGGAGGGGAAGUCUGACUGCCGGACGUGGCCACUUCGGGCGCUGCAUCGAUACGCGGUGCCUUUUCGGGGCCUUCCCUUGGACCAGCCCGUGCACCCGUUCCAGAUCGGUGAUCAGGUCCUUGUCAAGAAGUGGAAGCGUGACCCCCUUACACCACGGUGGGACGGCCCACACACUGUCUCGCUCAUCAGCCAAGCUGCAGUCAAAGUUCUUGGGAGUGACAAAUGGACACACCAUACGCGGGUAAAGCUGUUUCUGAACCCUAACCCGGAGACUGAACUAGCGGAAGAGGACACCAGCCCUCUGCCCGCCCCGGCUCCGGACGCCCGGGGUGGCACAGGUGAAGACUCCACCUGGGAGUAUCAGUACUUGGACGGACUAAAGGGACUGUUUAGAAAAAGAUAAUGAAAUUAUUGUUAAUAUCUUUGUUUAUGUGCUUCCACCACUAUUAUGGUUGGGAAAAUAGGUUUUUACAGCUGGGGGGAGACAAUAGCAAAAUCCAUUAACCUCAGUAACUGUUGGGUAUGCGGAGGCCCAGGGGAAUUAAAUGAAUGGCCUUGGGUAGCCCAGCCGGUACAGCCCAAAUGGUGGCUCAGCAAUUUGAGUAUAGUCCACGAUGGAACGGGGGUUUGGACUGAGGAUAGUAGCCCCUGGCGACUGUAUUCUUCAGGAAUGGGUAUUCUCUGCCUUAAUCGGACAAGGCGGGAGGGAGUGUACUUGGGAGAAAGCAAGUGUGAUUGGACUCUAUCCCCAGGGUUUGAUUGCUGGGACCCUUAUUGUCAUCUGUAUGACUGUUCUAAAUAUCAGGGGCAAUGGAACCAGACCCAUGUGAGGCUCACCAAUAAUAGUUGGGUGAAAUGCUCCAAACAAUACUACCCUACGGCCGAAGGUUGCAGGGCGGUAGGACAGGAUGGGUUCUUUGACGCCCUAUUCACGAGUUGCCAGCUAGACAAUACCACUAGCAAGGACCACGUGGUACGGUGGUUUCAAAUGGGCAUGGCAGAAUCAGAAUGGAACUCGAGUAUGGGGUUUUAAACAAUUCUGGUCUAGCACCAAUCAGCCAAAAUGGGGCUGCGAUUGUGUCUGGAAAGCAGGAGCUGGGGCGUGGAGAUGUGAUUAUUGCAGUUCAGCUGAUGGAAUGGUGGGGGGACCUUUAGGGCCAGGUAAUCCUUUAUAUUUUGACCAUCUAUAGGACGAUGAGAAUGAGGAAACCUGGGAUGACCCCUUUGCUAAUGGAACCUGGGCUCUAAAGGACCAUUAUUGGAUCUGCGGGUCCUAUGCCUACUGAAGAUUGCCUCCAAAUUGGUCUGGGAUAUGUUAUGUUGGAUAUAUAAGACCCUUGUUCUUUCUAUUACCCCAGAUGCAGGGAAAUAAAUUGGGAAUUAAGGUUUAAUUAGAGAAAGGCGGUUCGUGGAUUCCACCCUGACCGCCGGAAGCUCCCAAACAUGGGGGGCUCAGGAGUGGCCCCCUGAGAGAAUUAUAAAACAUUAUGGUCCAGCUACAUGGAAUCCUAAUGAGUGGAUCUCAGGGGCAAGGGAGCCCAUUUACAACUUGAAUCGGAUAAUUAGGCUGCAAGCCAUUUUAGAAAUAAUAACUAAUCAGACGGCUGCAGCUCUUGAUCUUUUGGCCGAUCAGUCCACUCAGAUAAGGAAUGUGCUCUACCAGCACCAUCUAGUUCUUGAUUAUUUGCUGGCAGAAGAAGGGGGAAUCUGUGCAAAAUUAAACUAAUCUAAUUGCUGUUUACAAAUAGAUGAUAAUGGAAAGGCGGUAAAACAGCUAACAAAAGAAAUGAGGAAGCUAGCCCAUGUCCCGGUCCAAACAUGGGGUGGGUGGAAUAUGGACUGGUUCACGUCCUGGUUACCGCAACUGGGAUGGCUCCGAGAAGGCCUUCUUCUCUUUGUACUCUUUAUUACAACCCUAUUAACCCUAGCUUGCUUUGCUCCCUGUGUAGUUGCAUUAGUCCAACAAAUGGCUAAUCAAAUUAUACACCAACAAAUGAUGGCCCUAUACCAGCCGGUGAAGGCUGAGGAUUGGGGGCCAUAAGGCUCUCAAAAUGCUUUUUAGGGGGGAAUCUUGUUAGGCCCAAAAACCGAAAAACAUGUUUAUCUCGGCUUCUGCUUGUUAUCCCAGUAAACAUGCUUAUCUCAGUUCUCACUGUCGUUUCCCAUGCAUGAAGUUGCACGUAUACAGGAUGUAUAGAAGAUAUAUGGAAAAGGGGAGGGGGUUGGACGGACCCUGGGAAAGGAAUGUGAAGGACGGGAAGCUAAACAGAUGUAUCCUGAUUACUACUAGAACUGAAUUUAAACAAUGCAUAGGUUAGCAGAAUUUAGACAUGCUAAGUUGUUUGUCUCUCUGUAUAAAAGAAGCCCAGUUGUGCUUGUAAGAUGUGUUCCUCCCUCUGGCAUGAGUCGAGGGGGACACCCGCUCAGCUGACUGAUCAAUAAAGAACUUGAAGCAGUCUUCUAGACUCCCGUGCCUCCUUGGGGUAAUUGGGCAGCUCCAGGGGGAAACGAGCCCAUUUGGCUAACACCAGGGCAGGAGGUGGAGGAUCCCUCUCCCAGCACCAGCAGCUCGGCCCGCUCCCCAUGGGACAGCAGCAGCGCCUGGGACUCGAGCAGCAUCGUGGCCGAUGGAUGCUUCUGCUUUGUUCCAGGGACUGCCAGGGACUCAGAGGAUGAGGAGGAAUGGG